rnacentral:misc_RNA from 1 species
GUUGAAGUUGCCUAAACGGAAUUUGCCAUGGCUGCAGCUGAGACGAUUAUCAACGGCGAUUCGACAAACUGUAGAAGAUGAAGGCGACUGGUUUUAUUCAUCGGAAUGGUGGGGCACAACUUCCGGUGGUGGCGACACAGUUUUCCGAUCAAUUUCCGAUAAAGGAAACGGCGUCGUUUCUGUCGUAGCUUACCCUUCUUCCAAACCAGAAAACUGUUAUUGGGGGAAAACAGAGAAUUGGCUUCAAAAGAGGUAUGAAAAGAUGUAUCCAAGAGAUGAACAGGAAGGGAAUUUCAGGAUUCUUGGUUACCAAUGGCGGAAUCUUCACUUUAAUGAGGAGACUCG